rnacentral:rRNA from 1 species
GAUAUCAAAGAUUUUAUCGCUUGAAGAUGGACUCGCGUCCGAUUAGUUAGUUGGUGAGGUAACGGCUCACCAAGACCGCGAUCGGUAGCCGGACUGAGAGGUUGAACGGCCACAUUGGGACUGAGACACGGCCCAGACUCCUACGGGAGGCAGCAGUGGGGGAUAUUGCGCAAUGGGGGCAACCCUGACGCAGCAACGCCGCGUGAAGGAUGAAGGUUUUCGGAUUGUAAACUUCUUUUAUUAAGGACGAAACUUGACGGUACUUAAUGAAUAAGCUCCGGCUAACUACGUGCCAGCAGCCGCGGUAAUACGUAGGGAGCAAGCGUUGUCCGGAUUUACUGGGUGUAAAGGGUGCGUAGGCGGCUUUGCAAGUCAGAUGUGAAAUCUAUGGGCUCAACCCAUAAACUGCAUUUGAAACUGUAGAGCUUGAGUGAAGUAGAGGCAGGCGGAAUUCCCCGUGUAGCGGUGAAAUGCGUAGAGAUGGGGAGGAACACCAGUGGCGAAGGCGGCCUGCUGGGCUUUAACUGACGCUGAGGCACGAAAGCGUGGGUAGCAAACAGGAUUAGAUACCCUGGUAGUCCACGCUGUAAACGAUGAUUACUAGGUGUGGGGGGUCUGACCCCUUCCGUGCCGGAGUUAACACAAUAAGUAAUCCACCUGGGGAGUA